rnacentral:lncRNA from 1 species
UACUUACAUAUAAUAAAUAAAUAAAUCAUAAAAAUAAAAAAGAAGGGGACAGGGUGAUGUCAGCCUGAGGACUGCAGGUAGUCUCUACCAAAUGGAGUGAUGAUAAAACAGUCACUUCCCUAGGUAACAAGUGUGUGUCUGCUAAGGCCUUGGUACAUUGCUCCAUUUUCAGGGCAGCCAUAAAAGGUAGAUGCUGGACCUCCCUCCGGAGGCCAGGCCUACUGGCAGAGGCCUUUCAUCAAGCCAGACAGCAGCUGGGUACUUUGGAAAGUUCAGAGCCACUCUGAGCUGCAGCCCGUUCAGCCCAAGCUACGUAGUGAGAUCCUGUCUCAAAACAAAAAGUAGAAACAGCGAUGUUGAAGUCAGGCAGUGGUGGCAUAAGCCUUUAAUCCCAGUACUAGAGAGGCAGAGGCAGGCGGAUCUCUGGGUUCAAGGCCAGCCUGGUCUACAGAGUGAGUUCCAGAGGUAUGUAGGAAGACUUGGUUUCAAGG